CGAGCUCCCGGCGGCCGACCCCCAGCUGCGUCCGCGCCACGCCACGACCCCCCACCACGGAGCUUCGGGCCGCGCCCGCGCCAAAUGUUGUGACUGUCGUGCCCGCUCGCCGGACAGCUCCACGACAACGCCACCGACCACGCCUGCGAGCUCUGCUGUGACAAGCUAGGGGCAGGAAGAGGAUUCAGAGGCAUAAAGAUUAGUUACCGCACACCACCUGUUUGAUGAAAUGCCCACAGCACGACGCUGCGGCGUCUUCUUCUCCUUUCUUAGCUGGUGCUUGCCGGUCCACGCUGCCACCCAUCAAUGUUGAAAAUUCACCAUCUAAAAGGUUGUCUGAGAAGGAGAAUGAACAAGGACUGCCUACAGUGCCGCACACGUCAUUUCGUACCUGAAACUAAAAAGCUAUGGUGUUGGUUUGAUCUUGAUGUAAAUGUUCGGCGCUUUGUUUGUGCAUGGACAAAUUUUUGUAUCUUUCCUCAUAUACCAAUGGUAAAUGGAGCCGUUCUCUAUAUGGAUGUGCAUCCUGUUCUUAGUAUGUCUGUAAUUACACUAGCUUAGUUGAAUUUUGAGGUGAAUCAUACCUAAUUUUCUAUUAAAAAGAUUAUGGGAUAUUUUCA